AUUGAACGCUGGCGGCAGGCUUAACACAUGCAAGUCGAGCGGAGCGAGGGUGCUUGCACCUUAGCUUAGCGGCGGACGGGUGAGUAAUGCUUAGGAAUCUGCCUAUUAGUGGGGGACAACAUUCCGAAAGGAAUGCUAAUACCGCAUACGCCCUACGGGGGAAAGCAGGGGAUCUUCGGACCUUGCGCUAAUAGAUGAGCCUAAGUCGGAUUAGCUAGUUGGUGGGGUAAAGGCCUACCAAGGCGACGAUCUGUAGCGGGUCUGAGAGGAUGAUCCGCCACACUGGGACUGAGACACGGCCCAGACUCCUACGGGAGGCAGCAGUGGGGAAUAUUGGACAAUGGGCGGAAGCCUGAUCUAGCCAUGCCGCGUGUGUGAAGAAGGCCUUUUGGUUGUAAAGCACUUUAAGCGAGGAGGAGGCUACUUAGAUUAAUACUCUGGGAUAGUGGACGUUACUCGCAGAAUAAGCACCGGCUAACUCUGUGCCAGCCGCCGCAGUAA
rnacentral:rRNA from 1 species